UACGUAGGGGGCAAGCGUUGUCCGGAAUCAUUGGGCGUAAAGCGCACGUAGGCGGCCCUGUAAGUCCGCUGUGAAAGUCGGGGGCUCAACCCUCGAAUGCCGGUGGAUACUGUCGGGCUAGAGUGCGGAAGAGGCGAGUGGAAUUCCUGGUGUAGCGGUGAAAUGCGCAGAUAUCAGGAGGAACACCAAUUGCGAAGGCAGCUCGCUGGGACGUUACUGACGCUGAGACGCGAAAGCGUGGGGAGCAAACAGG
rnacentral:rRNA from 1 species